rnacentral:rRNA from 1 species
UUGACCUCGGAUCAGGUAGGAAUACCCGCUGAACUUAAGCAUAUCAAUAAGCGGAGGAAAAGAAACCAACAGGGAUUGCCCUAGUAACGGCGAGUGAAGCGGCAACAGCUCAAAUUUGAAAUCUGGCUUUCGGGCCCGAGUUGUAAUUUGUAGAGGAUGAUUUUGAUGCGGUGCCUUCCGAGUUCCCUGGAACGGGACGCCAUAGAGGGUGAGAGCCCCGUCUGGUUGGAUGCCAAAUCUCUGUAAAUCUCCUUCGACGAGUC